rnacentral:lncRNA from 1 species
CAGGAACUCAGUGCCUAAGAAGCAAAAUCUUCUUGUAGAAAUGGCAGUGGGUGGCCACUGUCCACCAUGAAAGAACCUUACUCUGCUGGAAAGGCUCAACCCAUUCUAGUUAUGUCAAACUCAACCUGCUCUUCCUCCUCCUCUAGCAAGCUUGAAGAAACAAGCCCUGGAAAAACAAAGAAUGGAACACCCCUCCGCUGACUUCAACCAACUGCCUGCUGAUGCGGCCUGACUCCCAGCCCUUUUUGCAGUUUUGAAGUGACAAACUGACUAGGCUACAAAGUAUUCAACCAUGGGCUGGUUCUGGCUGGUUCACCGAGGCUGUGUACAAAGUGUCUUCAUGUCCUGUGUUUCACCUUUUAACAUACAGAACCUAAUUUUACUGCAUUUUAAUGUUAAUUCUCCACUCGAAGGUGAACAUGGGAUGUAUGUAACACAUAUGUUUGCUUAUCAAGCACACAUAUGACCCCCUUUCAUGAAUAUUCAUAGUUCCCCCUGUGACCUGUUGAAUAUGUCUGUUUAGCCAACCUGUUUGGCAUAAAACUCCUAUCCCACCCUAUCUCCCUCAAAGUACCUGUUUGUGGUCUCAGCUGGAGGUGCCACUUCCCAGCCUGCAGUUUGCAACCCUUCUCAAGAAAUAAAGUCUUCCUUUCCAAGUUUACGGGUCUCAUAUUUUUAGUUGACACCCCCAAGUUGGUGCUUCACAUGGAGAGGAUAG